rnacentral:rRNA from 1 species
GCCUACAACCAAAUCAACUUGAAUGCGCCUGAUCUCAUCGGAUCUCAGGAGCUAAGCGGUGCUCAGGCUCGUUAAUUCUCAGAUGGGUGACCAGGGCAUGGCUGUUAGAGCAAUGAGGCU